GUUCGGUCUCUUUCGUAGUGACCAGACGUGAGUUUGUUUUGCGCUCUGUAUUUUCCUUUCUAAUUUCGAUAAACGACAGGUGUUUUUUUUUCAAAAAAACUCUUGUAAAUGUUACUGAGUAACUUGCCACUUUCGCGAGUGCAUGCAUAUUAUUUGUCUGAAAUUAAAAUGUAAUCUUAUUCAUUUGUGCGUCGGUUAGUCGUGUGUUUGUGCUGUUUCUUUUCGUAAGUACUUUCGUUAUUGCGUUUACUGUCUACUCUGUAGUUUAAAAUUAACUGUUCUUCCUCUGUCGCUCUGAAAACUUUCUG
rnacentral:lncRNA from 1 species